UACGAAGGGGGCUAGCGUUGCUCGGAAUCACUGGGCGUAAAGCGCACGUAGGCGGAUUGUUAAGUCAGGGGUGAAAUCCUGGAGCUCAACUCCAGAACUGCCUUUGAUACUGGCGAUCUCGAGUCCGGGAGAGGUGAGUGGAACUGCGAGUGUAGAGGUGAAAUUCGUAGAUAUUCGCAAGAACACCAGUGGCGAAGGCGGCUAUCUGGACGGUUUCUGACGCUAAGACGCGAAAGCGUGGGGAGCAAACAGG
rnacentral:rRNA from 1 species